GUCCUCCUGCCCGGCUCUGUCCAACGGGACCCCUGCCCCUCCUCCUGUUUGAGCAGGAUGCCUGGGUCCUGAGAGGCGCAGGUGCUCUGGGAGGGGAGUCGAGAACUGAGGCCAGGUGCUGGACUGUCUGGAAUUCACUCCUGUCUUCUGAGCCCCGCACUGGAGAAGCCCGAGCCAAGACAUCAUAACGUGCUGAGAGACAGGAAGACACCUGGGGACAGAUGCACAGCUGGGGAGAGGAGCAGCACGUUCGGCACCACCCCCUGAAGUACACCCCCUCGCCACUCUGGCAUCCGCGGACUCCCCCCUGCACGCACGCCCGUUAACAACACGAGACCUGCCGCCUGCCCCACGCGUGGCGGCUUGUGCGUCUUCCGAGCGAUUUGAAAGCACUGGUGACUUCCACACGGAACGACACAUGCCGUCCUGUCCUCUUUCCGGGCACAAGUACGCAAACGCGCUCCCCGGGCGAUAACCACAAUAAAGCCAGGAGAGGGGAGGGAAGA